rnacentral:rRNA from 1 species
UACGAAGGGGGCUAGCGUUGUUCGGAAUCACUGGGCGUAAAGCGCACGUAGGCGGAUCUUUAAGUCAGGGGUGAAAUCCCGAGGCUCAACCUCGGAACUGCCUUUGAUACUGGGGAGCUCGAGUCCGGGAGAGGUGAGUGGAACUGCGAGUGUAGAGGUGAAAUUCGUAGAUAUUCGCAAGAACACCAGUGGCGAAGGCGGCUCACUGGCCCGGAACUGACGCUGAGGUGCGAAAGCGUGGGGAGCAAACAGG